rnacentral:misc_RNA from 1 species
CCUAGAGUUUGUAGGCUUUGCCUGCUAUCUCUUACCCAUGUCUUUUUGAGUACCUUCGUUUCCUCGGCGGGUUCCGCCCGCCGAUUGGACAAUUUUAACAAACCAUUUUGCAGUUGCAAUCAGCCGUCUGAAAAAACCUUAAUAGUUAC